GGAUCCCCUCGCCGGAUUUUGCCGACUGCGGCCUGAGGAGCGUGUGCUGCCACCUCCUCCAUUGAAAAUUGAGUUACACGCGUGGUACGGGUGUGUGCGAAUGUAUCUGGCAGAUACAUAUGUAUCUGCUGUCUGCGGCUACGUGCCCCACGAACUGGCUUACAUUUCGCAGAUUAAAACCGGGCUGCCCGUUGUGUGCCACCUGAAGCCAAUUCGAUUUAAAUGUCUGGCACUUCCACUUGGCUUUUCCUGGCCAUAUUUCGUACCAGGCAUUGAAUUGGGGCUUUCUUCCUGUGCAUGGCAUACUAAAAUCACCGGGGUUCAAGGGUCAGCUACACGGCUUUACCACGCCUGUGUGUGUGUGUGUUGUCUCCCUUUCGCAGUGACAGCUCGAAUGCAAUGGCAACAAUUGCAAUUUGUUGGCAACGUUCUGCCCUGAGGCCCAGGACCACUUCACUCUGGCUGGCUUUACUUUCAAUACGCUCAAGGAAGCACCGAAAAAAAAAGAAAUAUAGUUUUUCUAAAUUAAAUUAUUAAGUUAUAAGUAUGUUUACAUGAGCAAAUCAAAUUCAUUUAGAUCAAAAAGAAAAUGAAAAAUGAACACAAUCACGUGCUUUUUAAGGCG
ensembl:ncRNA lncRNA:CR45902 long non-coding RNA:CR45902